rnacentral:rRNA from 1 species
GAACGAGAGAAGAGAAGCUUGCUUUUCUGAUCUAGUGGCGGACGGGUGAGUAACACGUGAGCAAUCUGCCUUUCAGAGGGGGAUACCGAUUGGAAACGAUCGUUAAUACCGCAUAAUAUAAUUGAACCGCAUGAUUUGAUUAUCAAAGAUUUAUCGCUGAAAGAUGAGCUCGCGUCUGAUUAGCUAGUUGGUAAGGUAACGGCUUACCAAGGCGACGAUCAGUAGCCGGACUGAGAGGUUGAUCGGCCACAUUGGGACUGAGACACGGCCCAGACUCCUACGGGAGGCAGCAGUGGGGAAUAUUGCACAAUGGAGGAAACUCUGAUGCAGCGAUGCCGCGUGAGGGAAGAAGGUUUUAGGAUUGUAAACCUCUGUCUUCAGGGACGAAAAAAGACGGUACCUGAGGAGGAAGCUCCGGCUAACU